rnacentral:tRNA from 1 species
UACCUGGUGGCCUAGCGGUUAAGGAACCAGCAUUGUCACUGCUGUGGCUUGGGUUCGAUCCCUGGCCUGGGAA